UGGGGAAUUUUGGACAAUGGGCGCAAGCCUGAUCCAGCCAUGCCGCGUGUCUGAAGAAGGCCUUCGGGUUGUAAAGGACUUUUGUCAGGGAAGAAAAGGCUGUUGCUAAUAUCAGCGGCUGAUGACGGUACCUGAAGAAUAAGCACCGGCUAACUACGUGCCAGCAGCCGCGGUAAUACGUAGGGUGCGAGCGUUAAUCGGAAUUACUGGGCGUAAAGCGGGCGCAGACGGUUACUUAAGCAGGAUGUGA
rnacentral:rRNA from 1 species